AGUCAGCCACUCUGUAAUGUUGAAUUUCAAAUGAGGUGUUAAACUGCUCGAAAACCAAUUUGCUUCUGCUCUUCAAAUUUGCUGAGAUUCAUCCUUGAAGCUGGUCUAGUAGGCAUAAGCACAUU